GCACCCCGACCAGUUCUGUCCCCUGACCACAAGCCUGCCGUCGCGGCCUUUGGGUGGCCGAGGCCCCCGGACCAAGAGCACCGCAAGUGCAGCACAAGGGGAGGGUCAGGAACUGAACCCAGAUGCGGCCCUGAGUGAAGACCAAGCCGGCGACACUGGGAGAUGCCACCCACCUAAAAUCCCACCGUUCACAGCUCGUGCAUUGCUCUUCUCAACUGCCCACCGCCACCCGCUGGAUGCACCCAUCUUCCUUCUGCCUCUGUGUCCCCACAGUGACCAGGGCAGGAUCGCUGAGCCCUAAGUUAGACGAGGUCCCUUCCUUGCUCAAAACCAUCCAUCAGGGCAGCCCGGGUGGCUCAGAGGGUUAGCGCCGCCUUUAGCCCAGGGCCAGAUCCUGGAGACCCGGGAUUGAAUCCUGCGUCGGGCUCCCUGCGUGGAGCCUGCUUCUCCCUCGGCCUGUGUCUCUGCCUCUCUCUCUCUAUGUCUCUCAUGAAUAAAUGAAUAAAAUCUUAAAAAAAAAAAAAACAUCCAACAGCUUCCUCUUAGGACAAAACGCACCUGCCCUCCUUACCGUGGUCCACGCGCUGUGCCGGGCCCAGCCCUGCCGCCCACCCAGCCCCCACCUCCUUUGGCUCUUGUCCUCCCAUUCCAUGACCUUCCUUCUAGCUCCUCAAGCGCCAACACUCCUCCAGGCACGGAUGUUCUUGGCCCCUCCUUGCUCAAUAAACGGGAAUCCUCCCCUGAGGUUCAUCACUCGGGAGCAGUCGGGACAGUGUGCCCUCGCUGCUUUGCCAGGCAGCCCCAGAAGCCACCUCUGGAGUCCCAGAAGAGGAGUCGGUGGGCGCAGACACUCGAAUCGGCCCGGCUCUGCCUCCUUGGCCAGUGCCCACGGCUGUGGCUGUGCCAGGACGCCGUGCAGAGCCCCCGAGGAGUCAGUGCAGCUCGGGGCAGGGCAGGGCCUGCAGCCAACCGUGGCCAGGUGUGCGGUGAGCGCCUGGCACCUCCUGCUCCGGCCCCGGCCCCGGCCCCGGCCCCGCUUCACACUCUCCACCUGCCUCCUUCCCCCUUCUUUUCCCCUCGGGAUGUCUUGA
rnacentral:lncRNA from 1 species